UACGGAGGAUGCAAGCGUUAUCCGGAAUUACUGGGCGUAAAGCGCGCGUAGGCGGCUUUGUAAGUUAGAGGUGAAAGCCCGGAGCUCAACUCCGGAAUUGCCUUUAAGACUGCAUCGCUAGAAUCAUGGAGAGGUUAGUGGAAUUCCGAGUGUAGAGGUGAAAUUCGUAGAUAUUCGGAAGAACACCAGUGGCGAAGGCGACUAACUGGACAUGUAUUGACGCUGAGGUGCGAAAGCGUGGGGAGCAAACAGG
rnacentral:rRNA from 1 species